UACGGGGGGGGCUAGCGUUGUUCGGAAUUACUGGGCGUAAAGGGCGCGUAGGCGGUCUGCUAAGUUGGAUGUGAAAACUCUGGGCUUAACCCAGAGCCUGCAUUCAAUACUGACAGGCUAGAGUUCUGGAGGGGAUAGCGGAAUUCCUGGUGUAGCGGUGAAAUGCGUAGAUAUCAGGAGGAACACCGAUGGCGAAGGCAGGUCUCUGGGCAUUAACUGACGCUGAGGAGCGAAAGCAUGGGGAGCGAACAGG
rnacentral:rRNA from 1 species